GGUUAAGCGACUAAGCGUACACGGUGGAUGCCCUGGCAGUCAGAGGCGAUGAAGGGCGUGCUAAUCUGCGAUAAGCGCCGGUAAGGUGAUAUGAACCGUUAUAACCGGCGAUACCCGAAUGGGGAAACCCAGUGUGACUCGUCACACUAUCAUUAACUGAAUCCAUAGGUUAAUGAGGCGAACCGGGGGAACUGAAACAUCUAAGUACCCCGAGGAAAAGAAAUCAACCGAGAUUCCCCCAGUAGCGGCGAGCGAACGGGGAGGAGCCCAGAGCCUGAAUCAGCAUGUGUGUUAGUGGAAGCGUCUGGAAAGGCGCGCGAUACAGGGUGACAGCCCCGUACACAAAAGCGCAUGUGCUGUGAGCUCGAUGAGUAGGGCGGGACACGUGGUAUCCUGUCUGAAUAUGGGGGGACCAUCCUCCAAGGCUAAAUACUCCUGACUGACCGAUAGUGAACCAGUACCGUGAGGGAAAGGCGAAAAGAACCCCGGCGAGGGGAGUGAAAAAGAACCUGAAACCGUGUACGUACAAGCAGUGGGAGCCCCACCACUAAGCCAGUGGUGAACUCCACAUACGCAUCCUUUGCUGAGGAUACGGUUAACGGAGCGAAAGCGACGUUCAACCUCAAAAGAAGCAGAGGGGGCUUAGUGGUGGGGUGACUGCGUACCUUUUGUAUAAUGGGUCAGCGACUUAUAUUCUGUAGCAAGGUUAACCGCAUAGGGGAGCCGGAGGGAAACCGAGUCUUAAUUGGGCGUUAAGUUGCAGGGUAUAGACCCGAAACCCGGUGAUCUAGCCAUGGGCAGGUUGAAGGUUGGGUAACACUAACUGGAGGACCGAACCGACUAAUGUUGAAAAAUUAGCGGAUGACCUGUGGCUGGGGGUGAAAGGCCAAUCAAACCGGGAGAUAGCUGGUUCUCCCCGAAAGCUAUUUAGGUAGCGCCUCGUGAAUUCAUCUCCGGGGGUAGAGCACUGUUUCGGCUAGGGGGCCAUCCCGGCUUACCAACCCGAUGCAAACUGCGAAUACCGGAGAAUGUUAUCACGGGAGACACACGGCGGGUGCUAACGUCCGUCGUGAAGAGGGAAACAACCCAGACCGCCAGCUAAGGUCCCAAAGUCAUGGUUAAGUGGGAAACGAUGUGGGAAGGCCCAGACAGCCAGGAUGUUGGCUUAGAAGCAGCCAUCAUUUAAAGAAAGCGUAAUAGCUCACUGGUCGAGUCGGCCUGCGCGGAAGAUGUAACGGGGCUAAACCAUGCACCGAAGCUGCGGCAGCGACGCUGAUGCGUUGUUGGGUAGGGGAGCGUUCUGUAAGCCUGUGAAGGUGUGCUGUGAGGCAUGCUGGAGGUAUCAGAAGUGCGAAUGCUGACAUAAGUAACGAUAAAGCGGGUGAAAAGCCCGCUCGCCGGAAGACCAAGGGUUCCUGUCCAACGUUAAUCGGGGCAGGGUGAGUCGACCCCUAAGGCGAGGCCGAAAGGCGUAGUCGAUGGGAAACAGGUUAAUAUUCCUGUACUUGGUGUUACUGCGAAGGGGGGACGGAGAAGGCUAUGUUGGCCGGGCGACGGUUGUCCCGGUUUAAGCGUGUAGGCUGGUUUUCCAGGCAAAUCCGGAAAAUCAAGGCUGAGGCGUGAUGACGAGGCACUACGGUGCUGAAGCAACAAAUGCCCUGCUUCCAGGAAAAGCCUCUAAGCAUCAGGUAACAUCAAAUCGUACCCCAAACCGACACAGGUGGUCAGGUAGAGAAUACCAAGGCGCUUGAGAGAACUCGGGUGAAGGAACUAGGCAAAAUGGUGCCGUAACUUCGGGAGAAGGCACGCUGACACGUAGGUGAAGUGAUUUACUCAUGGAGCUGAAGUCAGUCGAAGAUACCAGCUGGCUGCAACUGUUUAUUAAAAACACAGCACUGUGCAAACACGAAAGUGGACGUAUACGGUGUGACGCCUGCCCGGUGCCGGAAGGUUAAUUGAUGGGGUCAGCGCAAGCGAAGCUCCUGAUCGAAGCCCCGGUAAACGGCGGCCGUAACUAUAACGGUCCUAAGGUAGCGAAAUUCCUUGUCGGGUAAGUUCCGACCUGCACGAAUGGCGUAAUGAUGGCCAGGCUGUCUCCACCCGAGACUCAGUGAAAUUGAACUCGCUGUGAAGAUGCAGUGUACCCGCGGCAAGACGGAAAGACCCCGUGAACCUUUACUAUAGCUUGACACUGAACAUUGAGCCUUGAUGUGUAGGAUAGGUGGGAGGCUUUGAAGUGUGGACGCCAGUCUGCAUGGAGCCGACCUUGAAAUACCACCCUUUAAUGUUUGAUGUUCUAACGUGGACCCGUAAUCCGGGUUGCGGACAGUGUCUGGUGGGUAGUUUGACUGGGGCGGUCUCCUCCUAAAGAGUAACGGAGGAGCACGAAGGUUGGCUAAUCCUGGUCGGACAUCAGGAGGUUAGUGCAAUGGCAUAAGCCAGCUUGACUGCGAGCGUGACGGCGCGAGCAGGUGCGAAAGCAGGUCAUAGUGAUCCGGUGGUUCUGAAUGGAAGGGCCAUCGCUCAACGGAUAAAAGGUACUCCGGGGAUAACAGGCUGAUACCGCCCAAGAGUUCAUAUCGACGGCGGUGUUUGGCACCUCGAUGUCGGCUCAUCACAUCCUGGGGCUGAAGUAGGUCCCAAGGGUAUGGCUGUUCGCCAUUUAAAGUGGUACGCGAGCUGGGUUUAGAACGUCGUGAGACAGUUCGGUCCCUAUCUGCCGUGGGCGCUGGAGAACUGAGGGGGGCUGCUCCUAGUACGAGAGGACCGGAGUGGACGCAUCACUGGUGUUCGGGUUGUCAUGCCAAUGGCACUGCCCGGUAGCUAAAUGCGGAAGAGAUAAGUGCUGAAAGCAUCUAAGCACGAAACUUGCCCCGAGAUGAGUUCUCCCUGAGACUUAGAGUCUCCUGAAGGAACGUUGAAGACGACGACGUUGAUAGGCCGGGUGUGUAAGCGCAGCGAUGCGUUGAGCUAACCGGUACUAAUGAACCGUGAGGCUUAACCUU
rnacentral:rRNA from 2 species